UGAUCGGCCACACUGGGACUGAGACACGGCCCAGACUCCUACGGGAGGCAGCAGUAGGGAAUCUUCCGCAAUGGACGAAAGUCUGACGGAGCAACGCCGCGUGAGUGAUGAAGGCUUUCGGGUCGUAAAACUCUGUUGUUAGGGAAGAACAAGUGCUAGUUGAAUAAGCUGGCACCUUGACGGUACCUAACCAGAAAGCCACGGCUAACUACGUGCCAGCAGCCGCGGUAAUACGUAGGUGGCAAGCGUUAUCCGGAAUUAUUGGGCGUAAAGCGCGCGCAGGUGGUUUCUUAAGUCUGAUGUGAAAGCCCACGGCUCAACCGUGGAGGGUCAUUGGAAACUGGGAUACUUGAGUGCAGAAGAGGAAAGUGGAAUUCCAUGUGUAGCGGUGAAAUGCGUAGAGAUAUGGAGGAACACCAGUGGCGAAGGCGACUUUCUGGUCUGUAACUGACACUGAGGCGCG
rnacentral:rRNA from 1 species